GACGAACGCUGGCGGCGUGCUUAACACAUGCAAGUCGAACGGACAGGCCCUGCUUUUGUGGGGUGCUCGAGUGGCGAACGGGUGAGUAACACGUGAGUAACCUGCCCUUGACUUUGGGAUAAAUUCUGGGAACUGGGGCUAAUACCGGAUAGGAGCUCCUGCUGCACGGUGGGGGUUGGAAAGUUUCGGCGGUUGGGGAUGGACUCGAGGCUUAUCAGCUUGAUGGUGGGGUAGUGGAUUACCAAGGCUGUGACGGGUAGCCGGCCUGAGAGGGGGACCGGCCACAAUGGGACUGCGAUACGGCCCAGUCUCCUACGGGAGGCAGUAGUGGGGAAUAUUGCACAAUGGGCGGAAGCCUGUGGCAGCAACGCCGCGUUCGGGAUGACGGCUUUCUGGUUGUAAACCGCUUUCGCCUGUGACGAAGCGUGAGUGACGGUAAUGGGUAAAGAAGCACCGGCUAACUACGUG
rnacentral:rRNA from 1 species